rnacentral:lncRNA from 1 species
GUGGGUUGGUUGUCCUCUUAACGAAGGAGUGUGGAAACAUUAGUAUGGCAUGCAAGUGAGAUACAGGGAUACAUCUUACUAAACAUGACAAACUGCUGAGCACUCUACUAUCAAGAAUAGCUCACGAAGGAUAUGGGUAUACGUAUCCCUCCGAUUUGAGAUCACUAUAGUGACUUAUAAGCAACUCACUAUACUUUGAUGUCGAACUAUCUAAAUUUUUACUUUUGUGAUGAAAAAUUUUUGGAUACAGUCAAGUACUUACGAAGUCGGUGUGUGAGUCAAGAUAGACUUGACCCC